GCUACUGUGGCUCAGUUGGUAGAGCAGCNNGUAAUCAGCAGGUCGCCGGUUCGAGUCCGGCCAGUAGCUCCA
rnacentral:tRNA from 1 species